rnacentral:lncRNA from 1 species
UUUUGGCCAUUUUUCCGCUAGGGGGUUUUGGCACCACGACCUUCGGGCGUUUAUUUUUGGACGCGGUUGUUCCCGCGACUUCCCGCGGGCACCCCGAGGCCCCUCGCAAAGUCUCGCCCCAUUCCGAGUCCGGCGGACGAACUUCGCCCGCGCCCCCCACCAAGGCUAUAGCCCACCCGUUUUUUGGCCAUUUUUCCGCUGGGGGGUUUUGGCACCACGACCUUCGGGCGCUUAUUUUUGGGCGCGGCUUGCCUGUGGCUUAUUUUUGGUGCCCCGAGGCCCCUCGCAAAGUCUCGUCCCAUUCCGAGUCCGGCGGACGAACUUCGUUCGCGCCCCCCACCAAGGCUAUAGCCCACCCGUUUUUUGGCCAUUUUUCCGCUGGGGGGUUUUGGCACCACGACCUUCGGGCGCUUAUUUUUGGGCGCGGCUUUGUCCGCGGCUUAUUUUUGGCACCCCGAGGCCCCUCGCAAAGUCUCGCCCCAUUCCGAGUCCGGCGGACGAACUUCGCCCGCGCCCCCCACCAAGGCUAUAGCCCAACCGUU